GACGAACCGUGCGAACGUUGUUCGGAAUCACUGGGCUUAAAGGGCGCGUAGGCGGGCCGCCGCGUCCGGGGUGAAAUCCCCCCGCUCAACGGGGGGACGGCCUCGGAUACGGGCGGCCUGGAGGCGGGUAGGGGCACGCGGAACUGUGGGUGGAGCGGUGAAAUGCGUUGAGAUCCACAGGAACUCCGGUGGCGAAGGCGGCGUGCUGGACCGGCAUUGACGCUGAGGAGCGAAAGCCAGGGGAGCAAACGGG
rnacentral:rRNA from 1 species